rnacentral:tRNA from 2 species
GCAAUAGCUCAAUUGGCAGAGCAACGCACUUGUAAUGCGUAGGUUGCUGGUUCAAUUCCGGCUUGCGGC